ACAAUAAUUAUACCUAAUCCUCAAAUCUCAGGCAACACUAAACCUUUGCUUCUGAUGUGUCUAUGAGUCUAAACGGGGGUUCUGAUGCUCUCACCUGAAUUCGUUUAUGUGCAUGAGUUAGCUGAGGGACAACUGAUUUGCAUUAUGCUCAGCUGGGAUUGGCUUCAAUCUGCAAGUCGCAUCCAGAUCCAUUCCUCAUGUCUCCCACGGUCCUGAAACCAACAAGCUCUCAGGAGAAGUUGAUGGUGACUGAAAUUCUGAAAAUAUGCAGUCAGCACUUUUGUCUUCAUGGAAAGUGAACACAUUUGGAAAUAUUGGCUCAGCAUUGCAGCUAUACCCUUUAGACAGGAAACACACUUUCCAGUUCUCCUUGACAGAGAGGCUGAAGGUCAACUGAUGGUCCAGAAUAUUGCUGGAGCUCCAGCCAUCAUUUCUGAAUGCCAAGAAACAGAAAUGGGGAAAAGCUUGACUGCAAAAGGAUCCUCUUAUCAGCUAAGCCAGCUUACUUUCCACAGAUGUCUUGGAAAUCUUUCACAACACUUUUAUUUUUGUCUCAGUGACCAGCUCUUGCCAUGUGGUCACACCUGGAUGAAGGACAAAGAAGUACAGCCUUUUGGCUAGGCACAUUUCUGCUCUGAAUAAAAUUUGGACUAAAGAAG
ensembl:lncRNA LINC01492 long intergenic non-protein coding RNA 1492